AUUAAAGUUGUUGCAGUUAAAAAGCUCGUAGUUGGACUUGUGUGCGCUGUCCGCGGGUGGCCUGCGCCCAAAAGGGCGUUUCGGUUCGGCCCCGGUGGCGCCUUGAAAUCUGCAGCUGGGAGGACGUUGGCCUUAACUGGUCGGCGACCGCACGCCGGCUGCUCGGUUACUGUGAGAAAAUUAGAGUGUUCAAGGCAGGCAUUGGGUGCAAUUGAAUACAUUAGCAUGGAAUAAUAAAAUAUGGCUCCUGCCGUAUUUUGUUGGUUUUGACUGGUGGGAGUAAUGAUUGAUAGGGACGGUUGGGGGUGCUAGUAUUGAGCGGCCAGAGGUGAAAUUCAUGGAUUCGCUCAAGACUAACUUAUGCGAAAGCAUUCACCAAGGACGUCCUCUUUAAUCAAGAACGAAAGUUGGGGGAUCGAAGACGAUCAGAUACCGUCGUAGUCUCAACCAUAAACUAUGUCGACUUGGGAUCGGCGGUAGUUUUUUUCAUUAAGACACUGUCGGGACCACGGGAGAAAUCAAAGUGUCUGGACUCUGGGGGAAGUAUGGUCGCAAGGCUGAAACUUGAAGGAAUUGACGGAAGGGCACCACCAGGAGUGGAGCCUGCGGCUUAAUUUGACCCAACACGGGGAAACUUACCAGGUCCAGAGAUGUAGAGGAUUGACAGAUUGAAGCUCUUUCUUGAUCACUUCGGUGGUGGUGCAUGGCCGUUCUUAGUUGGUGGAGUGAUUUGUCUGGUUAAUUCCGUUAACGAUCGAGACCUCAGCCUGCUAGUGUAGUCGGCUGGAUUGCCUUUGGCGAUCCGUGAUUUCGACUUCUUAGAGGGACAAUCGACGCGCAGUCGAUGGAAGUUUGAGGCAAUAACAGGUCUGUGAUGCCCUUAGAUGUUCUGGGCCGCACGCGCGCUACACUGCUGGGCUCAGCGAGUUUUACUUGGCCGAGAGGCCCGGUUAAUCUUGUGAAAUCCCAGCGUGCUUGGGCUCGCCUCCUGCAACUGGAGGCGCCAACGAGGAAUUCCUAGUAGACGCAGGUCAUCAACCUGCAUCGAUUACGUCCCUGCCCUUUGUACACACCGCCCGUCGUUCCAUAAGAGUGAGGCAUCCGGUGAAUUCUCGGGAGAGCCUGGGCGUGGCCAGCAAUGGUCUGCUCGGGUUUGAACUUGCAUAAACUUGGUGCCUAUGAUUAGGG
rnacentral:rRNA from 1 species